rnacentral:rRNA from 1 species
AUUCGCCCUUAGAGUUUAAUCCUGGCUCAGGACGAACGCUGGCGGCGUGCCUAACACAUGCAAGUCGAACGGAGCUAGAUGCUGAGGACGUAGCUUGCUAUUGAAUCUUGUUUAGCUUAGUGGCGGACGGGUGAGUAACGCGUGAGCAACCUACCUUUCAGAGGGGGAUAACGUUUGGAAACGAACGCUAAUACCGCAUGAUAUUAUUGGGCGGCAUUGCCUGAUAUCAAAGGAGCAAUCCGCUGAAAGAUGGGCUCGCGUCCGAUUAGGUAGUUGGCGGGGUAACGGCCCACCAAGCCGACGAUCGGUAGCCGGACUGAGAGGUUGAACGGCCACAUUGGGACUGAGACACGGCCCAGACUCCUACGGGAGGCAGCAGUGAGGGAUAUUGGUCAAUGGGGGAAACCCUGAACCAGCAACGCCGCGUGAGGGAAGACGGUUUUCGGAUUGUAAACCCCUGUCCUCUGUGAAGAUGAUGACGGUAGCAGAGGAGGAAGCUCCGGCUAACUACGUGCCAGCAGCCGCGGUAAUACGUAGGGAGCAAGCGUUGUCCGGAUUUACUGGGUGUAAAGGGUGCGUAGGCGGCUUUGCAAGUCAGAAGUGAAAUCUAUGGGCUUAACCCAUAAACUGCUUUUGAAACUGCAGGGCUUGAGUGAAGUAGAGGUAGGCGGAAUUCCCGGUGUAGCGGUGAAAUGCGUAGAGAUCGGGAGGAACACCAGUGGCGAAGGCGGCCUACUGGGCUUUAACUGACGCUGAGGCACGAAAGCGUGGGUAGCAAACAGGAUUAGAUACCCUGGUAGUCCACGCUGUAAACGAUGAUUACUAGGUGUGGGUGGACUGACCCCAUCCGUGCCGGAGUUAACGCAUUAAGCACUCCGCCUGGGGAGUACGACCGCAAGGUUGAAACUCAAAGGAAUUGACGGGGGCCCGCACAAGCGGUGGAGCAUGUGGUUUAAUUUGAAGCUACGCGAAGAACCUUACCAGGUCUUGACAUCUUGCGCUAACCUUAGAGAUAAGGCGUUCCCUUAGGGGACGCAAUGACAGGUGGUGCAUGGUUGUCGUCAGCUCGUGUCGUGAGAUGUUGGGUUAAGUCCCGCAACGAGCGCAACCCUCGUUACUAGUUGCCAGCAUUAAGUUGGGCACUCUAGUGAGACCGCCGGUGACAAACCGGAGGAAGGUGGGGACGACGUCAGAUCAUCAUGCCCCUUAUGACCUGGGCUACACACGUGCUACAAUGGACGGUACAACGAGUUGCAAAC